rnacentral:sRNA from 1 species
UUGCGUUAGGGAUUGCAGAGGAAAGCCCACAGCCCGACGAAGGAGGUGCGAGGACUUGUAACGGAAAGCCCGACCCCGC